AUUUUGGGCAUUUGCCUCGAAGCAUAGCCCAACUUGGUGCUCUUCAAUGCUUGGACGUAUCACAUUGCAAGAGACUUACACAGCUGCCAGAAUUUCCAGUUCAAUUAGAUACAAUAGAAUCAGAUUGGACAAAUUAUUGGAUCUGUAAUUCGUUAUUUCAGAAUAUCUCAUUAUUGCAGCACGACAUCUCUGCUUCAGACUCCUUGUCACUAAGAGUGAUUACAGGUUGGCAGUGGCAUGGGAUACCAAUGUUUCCAUACCAGGGAAUUGUUGGUGUACCAUUCAAUUUGCCUAAGAAUUGGUACAUACAUGAUAGCUUCUUGGGAUUUGCUGUAUGUUACUAUGGCAUAUUAACUAACUUCAUAGCUCACUUGAUUCACUUAUCUGAUGAUGGGAUGUCGUGCAUCACCCGCAAACUUGUCUUAUCCAACCAUUCAGAAUAUUCUCCAAAUGGUGUUCAUUUUUAUUUGAUACCUUUUGCUGGUUUAUGGGAUAUAUCUAACACAAAUGGAACAACACCAAAUGACUAUAGGCACAUCAUGUUAUCUUCCUCGAAAAAAAAAAUGAGUGUAUAUUUCAUUUGUUGUAUAAAGAUGAACUAGGCGUUUAGUCCUUGUUGCAAAUUAAGGAAAAUAAUGAUGAACAUUGCCUUGGGACAAGGAGGAGCAGAUUUGAUUAUAGUGAACACCAUGAUGAAGCCAGUUGCUCCUCUUCUAAGCAACAAGUAGAUGCACUUUGCAGCAACAUCAACUGCCAGGAAUAUAGAGCUCAUCGAUGGGUGAUUUACAUUUCAUCUUGUCUCCAUUUAUGCUGGAUUAAUGAAGAGCAAACUGAGAAGCGAAGAUGCUACUUUGAGAAUACAACAGAUGAAAUAGACUCUUGGCAUGAGAAAGAGAUUCAUGAAAGAACUUGGGUACGCGAUAAUUCAUUCUUUUAAAACAUAAUCACAUUUCCAUUUGCUGAUAAGCAGCUUGUCCAAAAUUCAAUUUCAGAUGAAUAUGUGCAAAACAAGAAAACUUUGCCCUAACAGGUGGAUGAAAGAAGCAUUGAAACUACUAGUAAGUUCCCUCACAUCAAAGACCCAAUGGAGCAAAGAAGAAGUAUUUCCAGUAGUCAAACAUACCUCUACUGAUAGAGCAACUAUUCUUCCAUCAGGAUGUAGAGCUCAAAUACUUUCUCCGCCACCACCAAGUUUACCGAAGUAGCAUACUUCUUUAUUGAUUCCGAUCUGCGUGUGGUAGCAAUACGAAGUAAGUUUGUUAUCUCAGAAUUAGAGUUGUGUGACAUAGCAGAGAAUUAGAA